CUUGACGGCGAGCUCGGAUGGCCCGUUGGGGAUGCUGACGACGGUGCGCCACUUGGCGAAUCGGGCGCCCUGCUGGUAGUAGGCGGCCUCGCGGGCGGCGAGGCCGUCGAGGCCCUGGCACCAGGACUCGUCGUUGGAGCCGGCGAGCGGGACGAGGCCCUUGUCGACCUUGAUCCCGGGCACGAUGCCCUGCUCGGUGAGGAUGUCGACGAUCCGGCGGCCGUCGACGGCGGACUGGUAGAGCGUCUCCUCGAAAAGGAUGGCGCCGGAGAUGUAGUUGCCCAGCCCCGGCGCGGUGACCAGCAGCGUCCUGUACGCCUGCCG
rnacentral:lncRNA from 1 species